AUUGAACGCUGGCGGAAUGCUUUACACAUGCAAGUCGAACGGCAGCACGGGGGCAACCCUGGUGGCGAGUGGCGAACGGGUGAGUAAUAUAUCGGAACGUGCCCAGUCGUGGGGGAUAACGUAGCGAAAGUUACGCUAAUACCGCAUACGAUCUACGGAUGAAAGCGGGGGAUCGCAAGACCUCGCGCGAUUGGAGCGGCCGAUAUCAGAUUAGGUAGUUGGUGAGGUAAAGGCUAACCAAGCCAACGAUCUGUAGCUGGUCUGAGAGGACGACCGGCCACCCUGGGACUGGGACACGACCCAGACUCCUACGGGAGGCAGCAGUGGGGAAUUUUGGACAAUGGGCGAAAGCCUGAUCCAGCAAUUCCGCGUGCAGGACGAAGGCCUUCGGGUUGUAAACUGCUUUUGUACGGAACGAAAAAGCCUUGGCUAAUACCCAGGGUCCAUGACGGUACCGUAAGAAUAAGCACCGGCUAACUACGUGCCAGCAGCAGCCGCCG
rnacentral:rRNA from 1 species